ACACGCUGGCGGCGUGCUUAACACAUGCAAGUCGAACGAGAGGACAAGAGAAGCUUGCUUCUUUUGGAAUCGAGUGGCAAACGGGUGAGUAACACGUAAACAACCUGCCUUCAGGAUGGGGACAACAGACGGAAACGACUGCUAAUACCGAAUACGCUUGGGAGACCGCAUGAUCUUCCAAGGAAAGGGUGGCCUCUACUUGUAAGCUAUCGCCUGAAGAGGGGUUUGCGUCUGAUUAGGCAGUUGGUGAGGUAACGGCCCACCAAACCUACGAUCAGUAGCCGGUCUGAGAGGAUGAACGGCCACACUGGAACUGAGACACGGUCCAGACUCCUACGGGAGGCAGCAGUGGGGAAUCUUCCGCAAUGGGCGAAAGCCUGACGGAGCAACGCCGCGUGAGUGAUGACGGCCUUCGGGUUGUAAAGCUCUGUGAUCGGGGACGAACGGUCCGUAAGCCAAUACCUUAUGGAAGUGACGGUACCCGAAUAGCAAGCCACGGCUAACUACGUG
rnacentral:rRNA from 1 species